AAGGGAUAUGGAGAAGAUGAACAUGGGACAAAAUCGCACAAAAUACAAAUUAUCAAUUAACAGGGUUUUUAUUCCUGUUCUUCAUCUUGCCAGUCGAUGUAGAGUCUUUAUCAAUGAACGAAUCAUUCAUAUCCUAGAACGUGGUCAAGACCGCCCCAAGCGUCGAAUCACAUUUAGUGACAAAAAUGUUAAAAAGAAAUAAAAAAAAAAUCGUGUGAUAUGCCCCUAUAUUAUUACAUAGAUGACUUAGAUAUCACACGAUUUUAUUUUUUUUUAUUUCUUUUUUAUAUUUUUGUCACUAAAACUCAAGCGACUGUGUCAUAAGUGUGAGUGUACCGCAAAACAUGCUCUCUUUUUCACGCCCUGUGUUAAAAUUUUUUUUUUUAACAAAACAGUCUAGAACAGUAUCAAAUAUAUUAUUCCCGGUGCAUACUAGAAAAGGAGGUUUUGGAAAGCACGUGUGUCAGAAUAUUCGAUCUACAUUGAAUAUAGAGGGGAUGUUCGCCAUACAUAAGGACAAAAACGGUAUAAUAUAAAAACAGGUUAGAAAAGAAUCAAAGGGCAGUCAUGUGUUUGAUGUUUAAAGGAUACAGAAAAAAAUGGAGACUAAAUAAGCUGUAAUUUUGCUGUUUUGCUGUCGUAAAUAAAAAUUAUCAUUUGAACCAAUGAGAAAACAUGUAACAUAACUAACUAUAAGUGUGUCGACCGACCCACAAGUAAUUGAAAUCAAAUUAAACCUUUGUCAAUUGGCCGUUUACCGACUGUGAUAUCUAAAGGCUAUUUGCCAAAACUGUAAAGGAAUCUCUCUCUGUUAAAAC
rnacentral:lncRNA from 1 species